GGGCCGGAAAAAAAAUACACAGUCUCGGUCGCGUUGUUAUCGAGGCGGACUUGGGCGAUCCAAGGCGAUUGCUGCGCGGACUAUGCCGCCACCGUAAAAGUAAAAUGACGUGUGGUGCAUUCAAAGGUAUCCCGUGGUUAAACGUCCAGGAAGGGGACUCUGUAGUUUUGAUUGAAAAAGAAUAGUUCUAUAGACACAAGGUAUUUAUGUUUUUAUGCGUUUGUCGUCUAUGUGAUGAUUGCCACCUGUCUUCCUUGUUUAGUGGACGCCCUUGAACAGUGGUGUUUACGUCAGAAAAUGUUUAUAACGGUGUUUCGAGCGAUAUCGUCAUAGGAGAUGUGGU